rnacentral:rRNA from 1 species
AUGGAUCUGUUGAAGACCACCGGAUUGGGUGACAAACAAAAGAGAAGAGUUAGCCCGUGGGCCAUGAUCUACGCCACCGGCCACAUCUCCGACGGGCACAUGAACAGCGCCGUCAUGCCCUCCUUCGCCUGCUUCCGGCAUUUCCCUUGGAUUCAGGAUAGUGGGGAGAAGAGCGUGGAGAUGGUGAUCGACGAGGGAGCCAUCUACGUGACAUCGAACGGCGGCUAUAAUUUUGUUCUGCUUAUUCUGCUAAGUUUAAUGAUGUACCUAAAUCAGUUUCUGGAUUUAAUGAUUUCUGGAAUGCCUGAAAUGUCAGGGCAGCAAUUUAAUUCAGUCAAUCUGUUGGAACUAGUUUGUCUAUUACUUGCAUCCAGAUUUUAUAGCCUGCCCUAUGCCCUUGUCGACUUGCUUAGGAACCAUCGUGGUAUGCGUCACUACUGGGGCGUGCGUGUUCGUGGAGUGUUCUUGUUUAGACGAUUACCUUGGAUGAUGCUUUUGCUUAAGGAGAGGCUCAAGAAGAUCAGGGAGCUCCACAUCCAAGUUUCGGCCAUCCUCUGCAACAAGGAGCUCUGGGCCAAAGGAGCAAGUAGCGCUGCUAGUUCCUUGAUGCCAGAUCGAGUAAGAUGGCGCCCCAUGGCGUGUGGUGGCGUAUUUUGCUUCCAGGAAUAG